rnacentral:rRNA from 1 species
UGCCAGCCGCCGCGGUAAUACGUAGGGAGCGAGCGUUAUCCGGAAUUAUUGGGCGUAAAGCGUGCGUAGGCGGUUCGUUAAGUCAAAUCUGAAAGCCCACCGCUUAACUGUGGAGGGUGAUUUGAAACUGGCGAGCUUGAGUACGGCAGAGGUUAGUGGAAUUCAAUGCGUAGCGGUGGAAUGCGUAGAUAUAUUGAGGAACACCAGUGGCGAAGGCGGCUAGCUGGACCUUAUCUGACGCUGAUGCGCGAAAGCAUGGGUAGCAAACGGGAUUAGAUA